UCCCCUAAGUAAUGUGGAUUACCGAUGUGCUGCCCCUUCCCACGAGAGAGGAGAUGUCGAAUUUUUCCAAAACCUCAAACUCAGGCAACAUGGGAAAUAAGUCUGCCUAUCAGGCUUCCCAAGAACGACUGGGGUGUCCUCCUUCCUUCGCCACCAGACUGCCUAUACAUAGCACCAUAUGCCGUACAAGCACUUACUGACCUGAUCUGAAUUCUUCGAGGCUUGUGAUGGGCGAGGGUGAGCUCUGGGCUUUAUUCUGCAUGGUGGCAGGGACAAAGGCAAACCCAUGUGACGCUGGGGGGGCAGCCUAUUCAUCUCAGGGAGGGGAAGGUACCCUUGUCUCAGAGAGCUGCCUGCCUUGUGAGUGGUAAGGUCCCCAGCCCUGAAAGCAUUCAAAAGCAGGGACUAGUCAACAGUUCACAGGAAACAAGCGACUAGGCUGCCCAAGCUGGCAGGGACUUUCAUGUCUACGACUCCAGGACACAAAGGAGCUUAGCCCUUGGCCACAAUGACCCUCAGGGGCAGGACAGGGAAAGGGGGGGGCAGGACUGGGGGAAGGGAAGCUUUACAUGCCCCCAGCUUCGUGACCUCAGUUUUGGAGAAGACGCUUGUUCAGUCAGAGUCACCACUGAAGGCCAA
rnacentral:lncRNA from 1 species